CGUAAGGCGCCGAAUGAGUCAUUAAAAAAUUAACAUCAUCCGAUCCCUAGUCGGCAUAGUUUAUGGUUAAGACUACGACGGUAUCUGAUCGUCUUCGAUCCCCUAACUUUCGUUCUUGAUUAAUGAAAACAUCCUUGGCAAAUGCUUUUCGCAGUAGUUAGUCUUCAAUAAAUCCAAGAAUUUCACCUCUGACAAUUGAAUACUAAUGCCCCCAACUAUCCCUAUUAAUCAUUACGUCAAUCCUAAGAAAACCAACAAAAUAGGAUCGAACGUCCUAUUUCAUUAUUCCAUGCUAAUGUAUUCAAGCGUUAGCUU
rnacentral:rRNA from 1 species